rnacentral:rRNA from 1 species
CCAAUAGCGUAUAUUAAAGUUGUUGCAGUUAAAAAGCUCGUAGUUGAAUUUCGGGAUUUAUCCGUCGGUCGGGCUUUUGGGUCUGUACUGGCGUGAUGGAUUCCUACCUUCUGAAUAACCGGCAUGUCAUUAAUUUGGUGCGCCGGGGAAGCAGGACUGUUACCUUGAAAAAAUUAGAGUGCUUAAAGCAGGCUUAUGCCUGAAUACAUUAGCAUGGAAUAAUGAAAUAGGACGGCAUGGUUCUAUUUUGUUGGUUUCUAGGAUCACCGUAAUGAUUAAUAGGGAUAGUUGGGGGCAUUAGUAUUAAAUUGUCAGAGGUGAAAUUCUUGGAUUUAUUGAAGACUAACUUCUGCGAAAGCAUUUGCCAAGGAUGUUUUCAUUAAUCAAGAACGAAAGUUAGGGGAUCGAAGACGAUCAGAUACCGUCGUAGUCUUAACCAUAAACUAUGCCGACUAGGGAUCGGAUGAUGUUAAUUUUUUAAUGACUCGUUCGGCGCCUUACG